UACAGGGGGUGCAAACGUUGCUCGGAAUCAUUGGGCGUAAAGCGCACGUAGGCGGUUCGUUAUGUCGGAUGUGAAAGCCCUUGGCUUAACCGAGGAAGUGCAUCCGAAACUGGCGAGCUAGAGUACGAAAAGAGGAUCGCGGAAUUCCCGGUGUAGAGGUGAAGUUCGUAGAUAUCGGGAGGAACACCGGUGGCGAAGGCGGCGCACUGGACCAUAACUGACGCUGAUGCGCGAAAGCUAGGGGAGCAAACAGG
rnacentral:rRNA from 1 species